rnacentral:rRNA from 1 species
UAUCUCGUUCUCCCCGAAAUAGCUUUAGGGCUAGCCUCGGCCGUUCUCCGACGGCGGUAGAGCACUGGAUCGUCGAGGGGGCUUCACCGCCUACCGACACGAACCAAACUCCGAAUGCCGCCGGAUCAGAGGCCGGGAGUCAGAACAUGUGGGCUAAGCUGUGUGUUCGAGAGGGAAACAGCCCAGACCGCCCGCUAAGGUCCCCAAAUCCAUGCUGAGUGGCAAAGGAUGUGCGUUUGCCUAGACAACCAGGAUGUUGGCUUAGAAGCAGCCAUGCAUUUAAAGAGUGCGUAACAGCUCACUGGUCAAGUGGACAUGCGCCGACAAUUCACGGGGCUAAGCAUGGUACCGAAGCGGCGGACUAAUCUAUAUUAGUGGUAGGGGAGCUUUCCCCGCAGCGGAGAAGCCGAGAGGGCGACCCUCGGUGGAGCGCGGGGAAGUGAGAAUGCUGGCAUGAGUAACGAGAGCGGCGCGAGAAACGCCGCCGCCGUAAGCCUAAGGGUUCCUGGGCAAGGCUAAUCCUCCCAGGGUCAGUCGGGAGCUAAGGCGAGGCCGAGAGGCGUAGCCGAUGCGCAACAGGCGGACAUUCCUGUACCGCCUGCGGACCGCUAUCACCGACGGGGUGACGGAGAAGGGUAGCCGAGCGGGGUUCUGGACGUCCCCGUGAAAGCGCGUAGGGCGCGGAGCAUGGAAAUCAGCUCCGCAGACAGCCUGAGACGCGAGACGAAAGCUUAUGCUGAAGUCGGCGAGCCCAUGCUUCCGAGAAAAACCUCUAGGAAGGGACGCAGGCGCCCGUACCAAAACCGACACAGGUGGGCAGGUAGAGCAUACCGAGGCGAUCGGGAGAACCAUGGUUAAGGAACUCGGCAUACUGACUCCGUAACUUCGGGAGAAGGAGUGCCCCUGGCGGUGACGGGACUAGCUCCCCGAGCGGCCGGGGGUCGCAGCGAAACGGCCCAAGCGACUGUUUAUCAAAAACACAGGACUCUGCAAAGCCGUAAGGCGACGUAUAGGGUCUGACGCCUGCCCGGUGCUGGAAGGUUACGCGGAUGGGUCAGCCGCAAGGCGAAGCUCUGAAGCCAAGCCCCAGUAAACGGCGGCCGUAACUAUAACGGUCCUAAGGUAGCGAAAUUCCUUGUCGGGUAAGUUCCGACCUGCACGAAUGGCGUAACGAUUUGGGCGCUGUCUCAACCAUGGACCCGGUGAAAUUGUAUUAUUCGUGAAGAUGCGAAUUACCUGCGGAAGGACGGAAAGACCCCGUGAACCUUUACUGCAGCUUGACAUUGAUCGUUGGCUCGGCGCGUAGAGGA